rnacentral:rRNA from 1 species
AAUUGCGGCUGCUACCUGCAAGUCGAACGGAGAAUCAGCAAUGAUUCUUAGUGGCGAACGGGUGAGUAACGCGUAGACAACCUGCCUUCUAGAUGGGGACAACACUGCGAAAGUGGUGCUAAUACCGAAUGUUGUAUUAAGCCUGCAUGGGCUUGAUACUAAAGGUGGCCUCUAUUUAUAAGCUAUCACUAGAAGAUGGGUCUGCGUCUGAUUAGCUAGUUGGUGAGGUAAUGGCUCACCAAGGCGAUGAUCAGUAGCCGGUCUGAGAGGAUGAACGGCCACACUGGGACUGAGACACGGCCCAGACUCCUACGGGAGGCAGCAGUGGGGAAUCUUCCGCAAUGGACGAAAGUCUGACGGAGCAACGCCGCGUGAGUGAAGAAGGUUUUCGGAUCGUAAAGCUCUGUCUUUGAGGACGAAUGUGUCUAAUGUGAAUAAUGUUAGAUAAUGACGGUACUCGAGGAGGAAGCCACGGCUAACUACGUGCCAGCAGCCGCGGUAAUACGUAGGUGGCAAGCGUUGUCCGGAAUUAUUGGGCGUAAAGCGCGCGCAGGCGGGAUAUUAAGUCUGUUUUAAAAGUUCGGGGCUCAACCCCGUGAUGGAAUGGAAACUAAUAUUCUUGAGUGCAGGAGAGGAAAGUGGAAUUCCCAGUGUAGCGGUGAAAUGCGUAGAUAUUGGGAGGAACACCAGUGGCGAAGGCGACUUUCUGGACUGUGUCUGACGCUGAGGCGCGAAAGCCAGGGGAGUGAACGGGAUUAGAUACCCCGGUAAUCCUGGCCGUAAACGAUGGGUACUAGGUGUAGGAGGUAUCGACCCCUUC